UACAGAGGGUGCAAGCGUUGUUCGGAAUUACUGGGCGUAAAGCGCGUGUAGGCGGCGGCGUAAGUCGAAUGUGAAAUCCCUUGGCUUAACCAAGGAAGUGCAUCCGAUACUGCGUCGCUUGAGUGCCGGAGGGGAUGGCGGAAUUCCUGGUGUAGAGGUGAAAUUCGUAGAUAUCAGGAGGAACACCUGUGGCGAAGGCGGCCAUCUGGACGGUAACUGACGCUGAGACGCGAAAGCGUGGAUAGCAAACAGG
rnacentral:rRNA from 1 species